UACAGAGACUGCAAGCGUUAUUCGGAUUUACUGGGCGUAAAGGGCGCGUAGGCGGUCGUGACAAGUCACUUGUGAAAUCUCCGGGCUUAACUCGGAACGGUCAAGUGAUACUGUCGGACUAGAGUACAGAAGGGGCAACUGGAAUUCUCGGUGUAGCGGUGAAAUGCGUAGAUAUCGAGAGGAACACCUGCGGCGAAGGCGGGUUGCUGGGCUGAUACUGACGCUGAGGCGCGAAAGCCAGGGGAGCGAACGGG
rnacentral:rRNA from 1 species